AUUGAACGCUGGCGGCAUGCCUUACACAUGCAAGUCGAACGGCAGCACGGGUGCUUGCACCUGGUGGCGAGUGGCGAACGGGUGAGUAAUACACCGGAACAUGUCCUGUAGCGGGGGAUAGCCCGGCGAAAGCCGGAUUAAUACCGCAUACGAUCUACGGAUGAAAGCGGGGGACCUUCGGGCCUCGCGCUAUAGGGAUGGCCGAUGGCUGAUUAGCUAGUUGGUGGGGUAAAGGCCUACCAAGGCGACGAUCAGUAGCUGGUCUGAGAGGACGACCAGCCACACUGGGACUGAGACACGGCCCAGACUCCUACGUGAGGCAGCAGUGGGGAAUUUUGGACAAUGGGCGAAAGCCUGAUCCAGCAAUGCCGCGUGUGUGAAGAAGGCCUUCGGGUUGUAAAGCACUUUUGUCCGGAAAGAAAUCCUUGGCCCUAAUACGGUCGGGGGAUGACGGUACCGGAAGAAUAAGCACCGGCUAACUACGUG
rnacentral:rRNA from 1 species